AGACACACCCUGGCUUCGGGACCGUCUUCCUUCUCUUCCCCCUCGGGGCCUAGAGGAGGCCACGCGCGGGGUCUCCGAGCUCUAGGGUCCGGAGCUCUAGGGUCCUUUUAUGUAGCAAAGUCAGGCCUGGGAACAGAACUUCAUGUGCUUGUAAAAAGUCUCAGGUGCGUCCUCGUUGUUUUAGAGACUUGGAGAGGAAUGGGGGCGGGGGGAACAAAAUCCGAGGACAGUCGAGCCAAGAAAAGUCGGGGCUUCUAGGAUGCCAACCACGCCAAACAGAUCAAAACCAGGACUGGAGGACUGAAGAUGAAGCCGGCAAAAAGUCACCAGCCACGGCUCUUGUAAGGUAUGCUUCACCUCUCCUGCUAAGUCUUCAUCCCUGUCUAUGAGGACAAAGAAGUUACGGGUUAAAUUGGCGAUGGGCCAGGCGCUCCUUGAGGAUGCUCUAAAGUUGGUGAUAGAAAAUGGGAGAACUGAAGACAACCACUUUAUAAAACCCUUGCCUGCUUGAAUUUGUGGUGAUGAACCGGCCCCUGGGAUUUGCUGCUCAGAACCUGAGUUCACUGAGACAUCAGGAGCAAGCACUGGAGGCCGGGUGCUGCUGGAUCCUGAUGGGAGCCAUGCAGGACUUGACCAUGGCCUGCACACACUUCUUCCCAGGAGAAGGGGAAUGAGGAAGGACUGGCCCCUGGGAUUUGCUGCUCAGUUCACUGAGACAUCAGGAGCAAGCACUGGAGGCCGGUGCUGCUGGACCCAGAUGGGAGCCAUGCAGGACUUGACCAUGGCCUGCAUACACUUCUUCCCAGGAGAAGGGGAAUGAGGAAGAACUGGACGAUGAAUUUUAACCUCCACACCACAAGCACUGGGGUAGAAGACUGCUGCUGGGUGAAGAAGAGACUAGACUUGAUCAUUGAGCAGCCACUCACUGAUAUCUUCAGUGCUGCAUGAGGAAGCAGAGUUUAUUCUUCUGGAUUUGGUGGUGGAUUCUGGUGAAGAUACAGAUGGAUGCUCUGGCUGAGUCGCUACCUUGAAAUGAAAAUGGGAGGUAAACUCUCCCAUAGAUGAAUCUUCCUCAUUUUGAAGGUAAAGGGCUUGAAGGUGAGAGAAGGGUAAUCAAGGAUGGCCUUUGUGGCCAUAUGUGGUGUCCUUCUGCCAUCAUGUAUGCAGAGCUACAGUGCAGAGCCAUUACAGCUUCAUUCCCAUGAAUCCUAGUAGUGGGGACACAAUGCCAGAACCGGCCCCUGAGAUUUGCUGCUCAGAACCUGAGUUCACUGAGACAUAGGGAGCAAGCACUGGAGAUCCGGUGCUGCUGGACCCAGAACCGGCCCCUGGGAUUUGCUGCUCAGAACCUGAGUUCACUGAGACAUCAGGAGCAAGCACUGGAGGUCGGGUGCUGCUGGACCCAGGUGGGCGCCAUGCAGGACUUGACCAUGGCCUGCACACACUUCUUCCCAGGAGAAUGGGAGUGAGGAAGAACCGGCCCCUGGGAUUUGCUGCUCAGAACCUGAGUUCACUGAGACAUCAGGAGCAAGCACUGGAGGCCAGGUGCUGCUGGACCCAGAUGGGAGCCAUGCAGGACUUGACCAUGGCCUGCACACACUUCUUCCCAGGAGAAGGGGAAUGAGGAAGAACUAGAUCCUAAGAGCAGAAGACAAUCAUAUGUCCUGAGAACCCAUUGGAGGUUGAACAGCGCUGGGUGGAUGGAGAAAGGCAGAAAUGCAGAAUUUCGUCAUUGCCUGGAUGCUGACUUUAUCCAAA
rnacentral:lncRNA from 1 species